rnacentral:rRNA from 1 species
AUUGAACGCUGGCGGCGUGCCUAACACAUGCAAGUCGAGCGGUAACAGGUGUAGCAAUACAUGCUGACGAGCGGCGAACGGGUGAGUAAUGCUUCGGAAUCUACCUUAUGGUGGGGAAUAACUAGCCGAAAGGUUAGCUAAUACCGCAUACGUCCUACGGGAGAAAGCAGGGGAUCGCAAGACCUUGCGCCAAAAGAUGAGCCGAAGUCGGAUUAGCUAGUUGGUAGGGUAACGGCCUACCAAGGCGACGAUCCGUAGCUGGUCUGAGAGGACGACCAGCCACACUGGGACUGAGACACGGCCCAGACUCCUACGGGAGGCAGCAGUGGGGAAUAUUGGACAAUGGGGGAAACCCUGAUCCAGCGACGCCGCGUGUGUGAAGAAGGCCUGCGGGUUGUAAAGCACUUUUAGUGGGGAUGAAAUGUGCAGGGCUAACACCUCUGCAUUUUGACCUAACCCACAGAAAAAGCACCGGCUAACUCUGUGCCAGCAGCCGCGGUAAUACAGAGGGUGCAAGCGUUAAUCGGAAUUACUGGGCGUAAAGCGUGCGUAGACGGUUACAUAAGUCGGGUGUGAAAGCCCCGGGCUCAACCUGGGAAUUGCAUUCGAGACUGCGUAGCUAGGGUGCGGAAGAGGGAAGCGGAAUUUCCGGUGUAGCGGUGAAAUGCGUAGAUAUCGGAAGGAACACCAGUGGCGAAAGCGGCUUCCUGGUCCAGCACCGACGUUCAGGCACGAAAGCGUGGGGAGCAAACA